CGAGACGGGCGGAUCACGAGGUCAGGAGAUCGAGACCNGAUGGUCUCGAUCUCCUGACCUCGUGAUCCGCCCAUCUCG
rnacentral:pre_miRNA from 1 species